rnacentral:rRNA from 1 species
AAUGAACGUUGGCGGCGUGGAUUAGGCAUGCGAGUCGUGCGAGAACCGUAGCAAUACGGGGACAGCGGCGUAAGGGAGAGGAAUACGUGGAUACCUACCCUCGGACUCAGGAUAGCCAUGGGAAACUAUGGGUAAUACUGAAUAAUGUCUCCGGACCAAAGGUGUGAUUCCGUCCGGGGAGGGGUCCGCGUCCUAUUAGCUAGUUGGUGGGGUAACGGCUCACCAAGGCGAAGAUGGGUACGGGAUGUGAGAGCAUGAUCCCGCUCAUUGGGACUGAGACACUGCCCAGACACCUACGGGUGGAUG